rnacentral:rRNA from 1 species
UACGGGGGGGGCAAGCGUUGUCCGGAAUUAUUGGGCGUAAAGAGCUCGUAGGCGGCUUGUCACGUCGGGUGUGAAAGCCCGGGGCUUAACCGUGGAAGUGCAUGGGAAACUGCAGUGCUUGAGUACUUAAGAGGAUCGCGGAAUUCCCGGUGUAGAGGUGAAAUUCGUAGAUAUCGGGAGGAACACCAGUGGCGAAGGCGGCGAUCUGGGAAGAUACUGACGCUGAGGUGCGAAAGCGGUGGGGAGCAAACAGG